rnacentral:rRNA from 1 species
UACGGAGGGUGCAAACGUUGCUCGGAAUCAUUGGGCGUAAAGCGCACGUAGGCGGUUCGUUAAGUCGGGUGUGAAAGCCCUGGGCUCAACCCAGGAAGUGCACUCGAAACUGGCGAGCUUGAGUAUGGAAGAGGGUCGCGGAAUUCCCGGUGUAGAGGUGAAAUUCGUAGAUAUCGGGAGGAACACCAGUGGCGAAAGCGGCGACCUGGGCCAAUACUGACGCUGAGGUGCGAAAGCGUGGGGAGCAAACAGG